rnacentral:lncRNA from 1 species
AAUUGGAAUGUUUGGAUUUAAGAACAUGUCUGUGCUUUGCAAUUUCAUGUGACCAUGGUGAAAUUAUGCACACAUUCUAUCAUUGUGAUUCAACAAGUAUUUUUUGAAUGCUGCUGUGCAUGAGGCAUGGUGUUAGAUGGCAGAUUGACAGAAAUGACUAAUACAGGUAUCUGGCCUCAAGGAGUUUACAGUUUCAUAGGAGAAAGAAAAACAAAACUAGCAAUUCUGCGUUACAGUGUUUCUGCCACCUCUGUACAAAAGACAAUUUUACUUGUGUGACAGAUGGGCUCUGCUUUGUCUCUGUCACAGAGACCACAGACAAAGUUAUACACAACAGCAUGUGUAUAGCUGAAAUUGACUUAAUUCCUCGAGAUAGGCCGUUUGUAUGUGCACCCUCUUCAAAAACUGGGUCUGUGACUACAACAUAUUGCUGCAAUCAGGACCAUUGCAAUAAAAUAGAACUUCCAACUACUGGUUUACCAUUGCUUGUUCAGAGAACAAUUGCGAGAACUAUUGUGUUACAAGAAAGCAUUGGCAAAGGUCGAUUUGGAGAAGUUUGGAGAGGAAAGUGGCGGGGAGAAGAAGUUGCUGUUAAGAUAUUCUCCUCUAGAGAAGAACGUUCGUGGUUCCGUGAGGCAGAGAUUUAUCAAACUGUAAUGUUACGUCAUGAAAACAUCCUG